CAACUACUCCCUCCGUCCCAAAAUUUUGUCUUAGAUUUGUCUAAAUACGGAUGUAUCAAGUCACGUUUUAGUAUUAGAUACAUCCGUAUCUAGACAAAACUAAGACAAGAAUUUUGGGACGGAGGGAGUAGAAG
rnacentral:pre_miRNA from 1 species